CCGCUUCUCUUUUAUUUUGGUCGUUUCGCUGUUCAGCACGCGUCGUGGUGACGAGUCCAAACGAGGUGCAGCUCCCUAACUCACCUGCGCACGCACCCCACCUGAGCGCACGCUGAUUGGCGGCCACGUGUUCUGCCUCGACUACGCCAGCACCCGCAACAAAGAACGGGAGAGAAGUGCAGUCGAGAGCACCGUGCGCCUGACGUCUCCUCUUGCCUUUCCUCCUGCGCAUCUUUCUUCAAGGGUGUGAAGCAUGAGUGAUCCAGUCCGUGCCCGCCACGGCCGGGAGCCGUCUCUCCCAUUCGACGACAGUGGGAGCAGCUUCAGCUCGCUUUCGUACUCUUACGACUUCUCUCGAUCACCGUCGAGGUCAUAUUCGUACUCGUCAUCCGUUUCCUCGAGCUCGUCUGACGAGCACCCGCUCCGCGGUCACCGUCGCCUUCGCAGUCGCUCGCCGUCUGAAGACUCAGUUCACAAGCAGCCGCGCAGCGACUCGGUGCUGGGGGACGAUCUAUUGUUCACGUCUGGUCACUCAGCCCCGCCGUCAUACCACCACCCUUCCUCCUCCUCGGCGCCGGUGCUUCCACCGGUGCUCGGCGACGCUGUGCUGCCCGCAACGGAUGGAGGUCAUCUCAACAGCGUUCUCGGCGCCCCUGACACCCCCAACGAGGACUGGCCGUGCGGUGUGUGCAGCAACAUCAACUCAAAGCAACGGACUUCGUGCUUCCGGUGCGGCUGCCACUACGCGGAGAGUCUUCUGGCGAUGCCGGGCUACGAGGUGUCGCUGACGCACCUGCCCGCUAGCUGCACAGCGGCAAUGGUGGAGGAGGCAUUGCGACGCGUGGCCCCGAACUGCUCCUUGCACUACAUCGGCACCGACGCCGAGAGGGGCGUCAUGUACAUUCAGUUUUCGUCUGUGGAGGAGGCGACAAAGUGUCUGGUGCAGAGCCACUGCGAGCUGCAGCUGCGCGACCGGAGCGGUGAAGACGGCGCCAGCGUGCGCGCGCGACUGAGCUUCUCCUUGGGUCCACACCCCCUCCACGAGCGCAAGGAGACAGAGGAGCAGGUGGCACGGGCGACGGCGCAGGCUGCAAUGGAGCGACAGGAAGCGGCGCUGCAGAAGGCGGGCGUGCCGCGCUUUCUGUGGCCUCACACAUGGCGCCAGCCGCCAUCCUUCCCAUCUGCAGAGAAGCGCAAGGCGUUUCUCAGCACCAUGUCUGCCCACUGGGACCACCUCUCCGAGGAGCAGAAGCGCUACUACGACGCCGAAGUGAAGAAGGCGCUGCUCCGGACGGCGGUACCGACAGAGUCGACGGACAAGCUGAACGGCAUGCCUGCGUCAUCCCCUGCGAAGGCUGGUGCCGCGGCAGAAGUCACGGCUCCCCUCUCCGCCGAGUUGUCGCCAGCCUCCUCUUCGCUUGCCACACCUGCUGGAGCGAAGGAGACUGGCAAGACGUCGCACGCGCUGGACGGUCUCAAGAAGCGGCUGGCGGAGCGGAAGAGCGCCAUGAAAAAAGCUGACGGCCCUGAAGGGGCCAAGGCGGCGGCGGCAGCUGCAGUGGGAACGCAAGCGGGCGGCCCUGUCGCAGGUCACGGGAGAGACGUCUCUAGCGGUGGCAGUGGUGGCGCCGGUGGUCUUGCCUCUUUGCUGCGGGGGCAUAGCGGCGACUUUCCCGCGACACCAUCGCAGGUGCCGGCGGAGUUGCUCUUGUGGGACGGCUUUCCGGUGCCGCUCCAGUACACCAGCCUCGGUAAAGUGCCGCGCUCCAUCGAUCUGCCUCGUGUGCCCAUGUCGGUGUGCGAGCGGCUGCUGCCACCGGCGCUGCUGCAGGUGGCGCGCAUGCAGUUCAAACAGGCCCGCUAGCGGUGCGUGGGGUUGUGUCGCGGUCUGUCUGGCGAUGCAGGUUUGUGCUGGUGAUGGCCGUUCCUUGCGCUCGUUGUUGUCGCGUUGGUAAGCGGAUGCACUUCGACAGUGAG
rnacentral:misc_RNA from 1 species